rnacentral:rRNA from 1 species
CAUCAUGAUGACUUUUUGUGUGUGCUACAUUGAUGUAAAAUGAGUUCACACCUUAAUCGACACGUCCGAGUAAUCUUUGAAAUUUCUUCGUAAUGGAGAUAGAUCAUUAUAAUUAAUGUUCUUCAACGAGGAAUUCCUAGUAAGCAUGAGUCAUCAAAUCACUUUGAUUAUGUCCUUG